AUUGAACGCUGGCGGCAUGCUUUACACAUGCAAGUCGAACGGUAACAGGGUGCUUGCACCGCUGACGAGUGGCGAAUGGGUGAGUAAUGCGUCGGAACGUGCCGAGUAGUGGGGGAUAACGCAGCGAAAGUUGUGCUAAUACCGCAUACGUACUGAGGAAGAAAGUGGGGGACCUUCGGGCCUCACGCUAUUCGAGCGGCCGACGUCUGAUUAGCUAGUAGGUGAGGUAAAGGCUCACCUAGGCGACGAUCAGUAGCGGGUCUGAGAGGAUGAUCCGCCACACUGGGACUGAGACACGGCCCAGACUCCUACGGGAGGCAGCAGUGGGGAAUUUUGGACAAUGGGCGAAAGCCUGAUCCAGCCAUGCCGCGUGUCUGAAGAAGGCCUUCGGGUUGUAAAGGACUUUUGUCAGGGAGGAAAUCCCUAGUGCUAAUAACACUGGGGGAUGACAGUACCUGAAGAAUAAGCACCGGCUAACUACGUGCCAGCAGCCGCCGUAA
rnacentral:rRNA from 1 species